rnacentral:rRNA from 1 species
AUUGAACGCUGGCGGCAGGCCUAACACAUGCAAGUCGAGCGGAUGAAGGGAGCUUGCUCCUGGAUUCAGCGGCGGACGGGUGAGUAAUGCCUAGGAAUCUGCCUGGUAGUGGGGGAUAACGUCCGGAAACGGGCGCUAAUACCGCAUACGUCCUGAGGGAGAAAGUGGGGGAUCUUCGGACCUCACGCUAUCAGAUGAGCCUAGGUCGGAUUAGCUAGUUGGUGGGGUAAAGGCCUACCAAGGCGACGAUCCGUAACUGGUCUGAGAGGAUGAUCAGUCACCUGGGAACUGAGACACGGUCCAACCUCCUAGGGGAGGCAGAAGGGGGGAAUUUUGGACAAGGGGCGAAAGCCUGAUCCAGCCAGGCCGGGGGUGGGAAGAAGGUUUUCGGAUUGUAAAGCAUUUUAAGUUGGGAGGAAGGGAAGUAAGUUAAUACCUUGCUGUUUGGGCGUUACCAACAGAAAAAGCACCGGCUAACUUCGU